rnacentral:lncRNA from 1 species
UUGUUGCUGUUGUUGCUGUUGUUUUCAAAGACCACCCCAGCCACUGUUUACAGGAUCAAAAGCAUUAUAAAAUAUGUGUAAUUAUUUCCUGAGCACGCCCUUCCUCCUCCUCUCUCUGUCUCUCUGUCUCUGUCUCUCUCUUUCUCUGUCUUCUCUCUCUGUCUCUCUCUCUCUGCCUAUUUCUCUCUCUCUCUCUCUGCCUGUCUCUCUCACUGUGUCUGUCUUCUGUCUUACUCCCUUUCUCUGCCUGCCUGUCUGUCUCUCUCUCUCUCUUUCUCUGUCUGUCUUCUCUCUCUCUUGCUC